AAAAAUAUAUUUUUUCCCCUUCAUCUUUUCCCAUUUUUCAUACAUUUUUGAAAAAGCUCCAGAGAGCCACUAGGGCGGCGCUAAAGAGCCUUAGGUUGCCGACCCCCGUAUUAAGUCAUAAAAUCAGUGUCGGUUGAGUCGGUCCAUAGGUUGCCUGAAGGGAUUUUUACUGUCCAGCAGAUGUCAGUAUUUAGUCACACAUUAUCGACACAGUAUCAAUACAGUUUUGCAAUGUGUCGAAACGCUUCAUCAACCCAUUACUAACAUAUGCUGAGGUGUAAACCUGAUGAAAUAGCUAAAAAAAAAAAAAAAAAAGCUCAUGUUUGUCAUGUCUAUGUGAUCAUGUUUUGUUUUAGUCAUGUUCUGUUUGUUUUUUGGCUACUCAGUCCCUGUUUUUGCACUUACUGGUUUGUUUUGUCACCAUAACUACCCAUUAGUUUUCACCUGUCCUCAUGUCUCACACCUGUUUUGACUAAUCACCACAGAAUUAUACAAACCUGUCUGUUUCUGUUCUUCGUCCUGGCAACAUCACCUCCUUCUCACCGUCUACCACCUUCGAUGCCUUCCAUGCCAAUGAUCCAUGCCCCUUGUCUUAUUCCAAACUCUACUUCAUCUAAGAGACCCGUUUUAAAAAUUAGGACCACAUCAAGAUGAUGUCAAAACUGCAAAUAAGCUAGGAAGAAUCCCACCAGGAGAGCAUUAAUUUGAAGGAAGUCCUUCACAGAGGCCACACUGCGAAGUAUGAUGGGAUGGAGAGGCGCCAUCCAUUGCUCCUUUCCAUGACCCAACUGAAGGCCGAGGUUCCCCACACUUUGUAAAGCCUAACCACAACAGAGACAAUAUAUUUGACUCACAUGUAUUGCUGCUAAAUGCAAGCAUGUAACCUGACACAAACUGAACUCAGAAAAAAUGACUGUAAAUAUCUGAAAGUCACAGAUCAAAAAAGCGUCCCUGUGGUCAAGCGUGCUGUGCGGCCCUUUGUCCAGCCCCCACCUGGCCGUGGGAGAGGAGGAAGUCCCUGUCCCCUCCCGUUCUGAUACUUUCUUUGAACCACACUGCUUGCUGCACAUACAGAGGUAAAAAUAGCCCUUCCCUUUCACGGCAGAAGGUCCAUGGCAACAGCACUUCAACACCAUGGACAGCGGCCAUGAAGACCACGCAGGACCAAGGUUGCAUCUAAUUUGUGACCUUGACAGCCAUGUCAUUAGGAUGGAAAUCAUUUUUGCCCACCAUGUCCCAGUCCCACACCUCCACAACGACAGUACCUUCCUCACUGAGCUCCCGAGGAUCCAAGUCCAGCUCCAGGGUCUCUCCCCAAUGCGGAAAACGAGUCUUCUUGAUAAUCUGAAAUCCAGAGGAUGAAGACUCAGGUGAAUCUCCCCCUGCACUUCUUCAUCAGGAUCAACCUUUGUCAGGUUUAUCCAACUGUCCAGCCCUAAGAAACAUUUAGUUAACAGGCAAAUACAAGUAAUUUUAAACUGUAUGACAAAAAAAAACAAGGUGAAUAAUUGUCUUGUAGCGCUGUAAAUACUAUUAACUCGGGCAACAUAAUGUCCAGAAUAACAAACGCAUUGGUACCUCAAUUUACGAGUAAUUUGAGAUACAAGCUGUCUCUCGGUUUAUUAUUAUGCUUUAAGUUGCGAGCAUAAUUUAAGUUACGAGUCCAACCCGCCACUUGGAUGAAGUAGUAUAUGUCACAAGGUUGUGCCGUUUCUGCAAUACGAGUAAUAUAUUGUUGCAUGUUGCUGUUUCUGCUUCGUUUACACAAGAAGCAAACCUAAGUUUUGAUUAGACAGUUUGAGCCCCGCUCAGAGAUCGAAACAAUCCUGCCCUCUAACCACCAGAAACUAACAAAGUCAGUGCAAAAGAGAAGAAGCGGAUGACCGAAUCAGCGAAACAAGCCAAUAAAAAUAUGUUCUACCAGUUAGCAGCCUACUCUCUUUAAAACAAAACAAGACAGUGUCAUAAUAGUGUUAUUGUUGAUUCUUUUAAAGCCCCACUUAAGAACUUUCAGUUUUAGUUGAUUUUUGGCAGCGCGGAAUUGUUUUGCUAAAAAAAGACCACAUUUCUCAUGGUGACAAGCGCAUAUAGCGUCAUACUGACAUGAUGUCCGUUAUAAUAUUGGCACAAAUAUUACGUCCCUAAUGGCUAUGAUGAUGUUAAAUAGCAGACACAAUUGAAGGAAGUAGUCGUGAAACUAUCAAGCUGGUGGCUAUUUAUUGCUACCACGCAAAUUUCCGAUAGCUAACAAUAGCAUUAUCAAUUUGAUCUCAGCAUCAAAAAUAUCUUACUAGUCCAGCAGGAACAGAGCCAAAGCGGCCUCGGUCUGAAAUUCCUCAUCUUUGGCCUCACGCCAGCAAGUGAAAGCCGGGGCAAUAUUUAUACUGACUGUCCUUUUAUCCAGGUAAGCUCAAUUUUUCUUUAUUUGUCUCCGUAAACAAAACUUUUCGUUUCUUUGGUUGUUUUGGAGCUUUUUCCAUGAUAGCAGUAAUUGCACGUAGGCGUUCUUCUUCUUCUUUUUGUUUUCUGGCGGCACAUAGGCGUUCGCAUUGACUUCCGUCUUUUAACGAAUGGUGAAAGAGAAAGUGACAAAUGCCGUAAAGCAAGUCAGCACAUUUGUAGGUUUUUUUGUGGCAAGGUUCCUGCCACCCUCCUCCUCAAGUGCCAGCAAAAGUGAUACAGAGGCCCUCAGGCCAAGACAGAGGUGUCAUUGAACUAGUUGUAAGUCCAUGUAUCGUCCCAAAAGUUAUGAAAAUAUUUUAUGAAGGUUGAAAAAGUACUUAGUACUGCUUUAAAGGGUAAGAACAUGGCAUUGAUCAUGAUAUGUGUGCACUUGAGCAUUUGUCCCACCCUGUGACUUGAAAGGUCUUUGAAACUGGGUCCACAAAUCCCAAAUAGGUGAGAGAGUUAGGUGCAGCAGCACCGCUAGGCAAUAAGCUAAAAGCUCCAGGAUAUCAGCUCAUUGCCCAAUGUGUCAAAAACUGACGUUUACACAAAUUGCGUUUGCACAGCCAAACCAGCUGCAUGCCCCCAUUACACACAACCAUCAAGAGUGUUUUUUUUAGGUUUGCAAAACAAGGACGAGUUUUUGCAAGAAAUAACAUUCCCAGAGUCAUGGCUUAAAAAAGGCACAGACUUUAGCUCCAUGUUCAUGUCCCUCUAACCUCUGACAGGCUAUGCUCUGCUCACCCUUUCGUGUACAGAUGUCUUACCUUUAGCUUGAGAUCCAAUGGCUUCUUUGGUCAGUGAAAUCUUUCCAAUAACAUCAUCAUGGCUGUAGAAGAAGAUGAGGCUUGAUCAGAUACCAAAUGAAAUCAAAUUAAGAGGCAGGAGGCUGUUUAGAACUUAUUGCGUUGACAUUAAGGGGUUUUAACCAGUAAGUGUCUGCCUUUGUGUUUAUUCUAAGCAUUCUUUCCAAAACAUAUAACUGUACAUGAGACUUUAACCCGACGAGCCAAGUCAACCAAACACUGAAGUCUUAAAGGAACCAAAUGAGAUACCAUCAGUCUACAGAAAUGAUACAGAAGGACUGUUGCUGAUCAUUUUGACGAAAUAACCUCACCCUAUAGUAUCCUCGUCCAUGACAUGGAAGGAGAGAGAAUGGAAACCCAUUGGGAGAUGCAGCGUGUACUCUUCACCCCAAAAAGGAUUAAGAUUUUUCCACACAGUAGCAGUCCUGAAAAGAGAGAUUACACAUGCUUGCCAGCAAGUACAUUUACAAACACAUCACAGUAUGCUUGUGCCACUAUGCACACAUGACUGUAUAUUAAGUUACAGUCGUACUGUUUUUUGUAAACCCCACUUUUCGUUUGAUACGAUUUUGGUAAAAAUGUUUGCUAAAACUUUUACCCGGUUACCAUACACCGUCUCGGUUAUUGUACCGCCUAUCAUUGCGUGUAACAACUCUCCAAUCCCUCAUUCCCCCUCCUUAUCCUUCUCAUCUUUGCCAACA